rnacentral:misc_RNA from 1 species
AACAUCGCGCACCUGCGGGAACCUGCGGAGGGAUCAUUAAUGAUUGGUGGCUGUUGCUGACUAGUGUUUCUAGUAUGUGCACGCCACACCUUCAAUCCCACUUACACCUGUGCACCUUCUGUAACAGAUCUAUGUGGAUACGGAGAUGUGAAAGUUUGCGCUCUCCUACUCUGUUGAAGCAGUCUACUACGUUUUUUUACACACACACACACAAUAGUCAUUGAAUGUAUUUUUUAUUCU